rnacentral:misc_RNA from 1 species
UAAACAAACAAGCCAACCAUAAUGUCCCUGGGACUACUCGGAGCUUAUGUCUCCGGCAGUGAGACUGAAAGUGAAAGUGACCAAGAUCAGGAGUUGGAACCAAAGACUGAGCCGAAAUAUGAACCUUUGGAGGCUCUAAGCAAUCCUUUCGGAGCAGGAGGAGCCGCAGCAAUUAUUCCUAAACCGUCAUUCAUGCAAGAGCAGCAGCAGAGGGUGGCGGGGGUUAAGUGUGAUAAUUCAGUAUUUAGCAAUCCAUUCAGGGACAAGGAAGAGAAGAAGAAAGCCAUCCUGGAGCAGCACGUGAACAUGACAAAGAGGCAAGAGGAGAUGAAGAUGAUCGACGGGAAAAAGGUGUGCUGGAUGUACAGGAAGGGGAGGUGUAGGCAGGGGUCAAAGUGCUCCUUUGCGCAUGACAACGACGUAAAAACUGAUCGUGUUGUAGAGAUUAAAUACGAUGCUGAUUCCCAGAUCUCAAAUAAUAAAUCUGCUAAGGGAGCUGUGCAGCAGAUCCGACUGAACCCGGUCCAGGAGAGGGAUAUUUCUCCACCUAAAGAGGAUGAAAUGAUGGUUCGGAAGAAGCGUCCUGGGCUUAGCCAGGGUAUUGUCCCAAGCAAGAAGGCGAUGGCGUUCCACAACAAAGUUUACAACAAUCCGUAGUACCACCAAACAUUCAUAGGAUACGGACAAUACACUGGGGAGGGAUAAUUGUAAAAGCAUUAAAGUUUCUUCAAGACUUGAAGAAUUUGUUUUUUUCUUAAACGCUGUUAUGUUAUUUUGUUGUUGAAGUUUGGCUAUAUUUUGAAUUAGGGGGAGGGCUGGGGAAUGGGAAUGCAAGUAUAUGGAAUGUGUAUGAAUUUGACUUGUUUUAAGCUUGUAGAAAUUUUGCAAACACUUAUUUUUAUUUUAGAAUAAA